GACGAACGCUGGCGGCGUGCUUAACACAUGCAAGUCGAACGGAAAGGCCCUGCUUUUGUGGGGUGCUCGAGUGGCGAACGGGUGAGUAACACGUGAGUAACCUGCCCUUGACUUUGGGAUAACUUCAGGAAACUGGUGCUAAUACCGGAUAGGAGCUCCUGCUGCAUGGUGGGGGUUGGAAAGUUUCGGCGGUUGGGGAUGGACUCGCGGCUUAUCAGCUUGUUGGUGGGGUAGUGGCUUACCAAGGCUUUGACGGGUAGCCGGCCUGAGAGGGUGACCGGCCACAUUGGGACUGAGAUACGGCCCAGACGCCUACGGGAGGCAGCAGUGGGGAAUAUUGCACAAUGGGCGGAAGCCUGAUGCAGCAACGCCGCGUGCGGGAUGACGGCCUUCGGGUUGUAAACCGCUGUCGCCUGUGACGAAGCGUGAGUGACGGUAAUGGGUAAAGAAGCACCGGCUAACUACGUG
rnacentral:rRNA from 1 species